AGCGAACGCUGGCGGCAGGCUUAACACAUGCAAGUCGAGCGGGCGUAGCAAUACGUCAGCGGCAGACGGGUGAGUAACGCGUGGGAACGUACCUUUUGGUUCGGAACAACACAGGGAAACUUGUGCUAAUACCGGAUAAGCCCUUACGGGGAAAGAUUUAUCGCCGAAAGAUCGGCCCGCGUCUGAUUAGCUAGUUGGUGAGGUAACGGCUCACCAAGGCGACGAUCAGUAGCUGGUCUGAGAGGAUGAUCAGCCACAUUGGGACUGAGACACGGCCCAAACUCCUACGGGAGGCAGCAGUGGGGAAUAUUGGACAAUGGGCGCAAGCCUGAUCCAGCCAUGCCGCGUGAGUGAUGAAGGCCCUAGGGUUGUAAAGCUCUUUUGUGCGGGAAGAUAAUGACGGUACCGCAAGAAUAAGCCCCGGCUAACUUCGUGCCAGCCGCCGCCGUAAC
rnacentral:rRNA from 1 species